GGGCAGGGCUCAGGAGUGAGAGGAAACGUGGCAAACGCUCGGGAGCGCCCAGAGGGAGAAGGAGGUGGCUGAGGCUGCCUGUACGUAGCCAUGUGCUCUGCCAUAGCCGGUAGCUGGAGCGGGCUGAGGGUGCCAGUCAGGGCGGUAACGCAGUGCUGGAGUGCAUCGGGAAAAGCCACGAGGUCAUGCUCAGAAUUCAUGGAACGAACAGAUCCAAUACAUCUACAGUUUUAAAAGGAUGAGUAAAUCUCGCUGGAACGAUGCCAAGUGCUUUGUUCCAUUGGAACUAACGGAGCGUGCUCUUAUGACAGCUGCAUCCAAGAGAUCUUGAGUGAAGAGGAGUUGUGCUGGGCUGCAUAUGAAAUAUAUAGUAUAGUCAAUGUAUGCAUGUCCAAAGUAAAAGGAGGACAUGAGGUGGUAACACUGAUCUGUUCCUUGAUGAAGACGAUCACCUCACAGACAGGGACACAGACGAAGCAGAAAAGUGUAAUGCCUUCUUGCAGCAGCAGCCAGACUCCACCCCCUACUUCUCCAGCCUUUAUUGAAUAUCCCAUCUGUGGUGAUUGCUUGUAGAACCAUUAUCAAGUUUCCCUCCAGCUACCAUUUCCCACCAACUCCUUUUAAAGGUUUUGCAGGGAACAGAAAACACCCGUAAUUCAGAGGCCUUAGGGAACACUGGCAACGUGGCUAAUGUCUGCUAGCAAGAUGUAGGAAAGACCAACAGAGCAACCAACAGCAGCUCCCUGUGAGAGAAGAUAGUGCAGAGGUAAGGUACCUGACUGUCCAGAACACAUCUUUCCUGAAGGUAUGAUUUACUCUGGUCAGUCAUGUUAGCUGGAUCAGGCUGCAUCAAUAGGAUUACAAAUAUUGGUACUAAAAGUUAAAUACAUGAAAUAUAAUUUUUCUUUCACAUCAGUAUUUUAUGGAGGCAUUCAUUUAUAGAGAUGGCUUGAAAGCGUAGUUAUGCAAGGAGGAUGCUGGAGGCAAAUAGGAUUUGUGCGAGGUUUUUAUCUAAUCUCUGCUUCCAAGAUAACUCUGGGCACAUGGCUACAACUUCUUUGUUUCUCAGUUCCUCAGCUGUUCACAAUGGAGAUCAGAAGAUUUCCUAUCCUGUGAGAGCAACUAGGCAAAGUGCAAGAGGAAAAAAACUGCUGUUCCCCUUCUGGAUAUUACCAAAGGGGCAAUGGCUUUUUUUGUGUCUAAGGAGCUCUCCAGAUUGAGAGAUUUUUAACUGAUUUAUUCACAUGUGGUUCCUAAUGAGCACAGAUGGGGAUGAGGAUGAGGAAUCUGUUAGUUUCCAAGCCUCCUGCUGAGGACAGAUUGAUGACAAAGGCAAUAGGAAGCAUUUCCCUGUGGAUGGAGCAGCAGUAUCCCUCACAUGAGGUCCCGAGGACAGUAGAGACAAACUGCUGGAAUAAAUGAUUUUGCAUUAGGACAGAAAUCUGUGCAGAAUUGCUUCUUGGAAUCCCUUUCAGACCUAUCUUUCCCAAGUAUGUAGUGCCAUUUAAGUACGUUAACCUCUUGCUGACAUAGAAGCCACAUAACAGUUUCUUAUCCUUCUGGACAAGAAAAGAGGAUUUAUUUAAUGAUGCUGUUGUGUACUGAUUGUAUGGUAUUUUAGCAUUUAUCAAAACUCACAGUGUCUGUAUGCUAACAUCUUCCCCCCCCUCCCCCAAACAACCCAUAUUAAUAACCUUAAUCGAUCUGAAGCUAUGGGUAGGCUAUAGGGCUCUGGAGAGCUCGUUGUUUUGGGAGAUAUUCAGGAAUAUAUGUUACAAUGGAUUCCAGGAACUUUCCAGAAGGUGAGCUAUACUGAUUAUGAACAAUUCUGUUUUAAAAAGCGUUUACAUAACCUUGGAAAUUCUGAACAGUUUGCCUUUAAACAUGAGCUAAAAUCAGUCCAUGUGUCUUUCUUUAUAAAGUAAAAUCGCACGUGAAUGUGAAAUGAAUGGAAAAAAGUUGCAGCAUAUUUGUGGAUAACGACAGCGUCAAAAUGUAGGGCUUUCUCAGCUAUAAUCUGCAGGAGUUCAUCCAUUACCUGCUUUAGCUUUGGAUCUGGUGAGUUAUUCUCAAAGUCAUAUUCACUUGCAAGCAUGCCGACACGUGAUGCUGAUGUUGGGAACACCCCUAACAACCAAGGAGCUGAUGGUUAUUGACAUGUAAAUAAAAUGCUUAAGUACUGCUCCUCCAAAUGCCCAACAGCUCCACAUUUUCUGGAGAAGAUCUAAUAAAUAAACUGGUGAGGAUUUGGGAACUGUUUCACAAUUUGACUUAAACAUGAUGGCAUAAUGGCUGCCAUUCUUCUUAGGGAGUGUUCUUUUACCACGUCUUGUUAGAACAUAAAAUUAUGCCUAUUAUAGAUACAAUUGCAAAGAGACACCUAUUGUGCUCCAAAUAAAUCUGAGACUUAAAGUCUGUACAUCCAGGAUUGCCUUGAGAAAGCGCAUCAGGAGCUUUGCUGAAAUCUAAACAGAUUACAUCAACUUUAGUCGAGCAGAUGGGUAACUUUGACAUAAAGUUUGGCAGCACAACUCUCUGAACUGCCUUUUAAGACCAAAUGAAGAAUAUUUUGUAAGCAGAUCUGUCUCCUGCUCUUUUUUCCUCUGAUGUGAGCAAAACUCAGGUGGACACCCUUGAAGAGCUACGUGACAGGGAACUUGCUCAAUCCUGCAAAUCUUAUCCUUGCCAGACAAGUUCCUUUCACAUAUAUGUGAUUUUCUUUGCUUCCUUGGCAAUAGCAAAUCAGCUGGAAAAGUACCUUAUGUUUGGGUAGCUAAACCAAGUGGGACCCAGUGCAAUUGAAUUUAGGCAACUGAAUCAUGCCCUAACUGUCCAUCAGCUUGAAUCCGAAGAACCAAGCUACAGCUCUGUAUGUUUAAUUGGUGGCUUAUACACUCUAUAUGUAUUCUCCUUUUGCUGAGGCUUGCAUGGCAGUGCUUUAACAAUGCACAAGGAGAUGAAAACAUCCUACAGCAGAGCAGGGAUCGCACUCCCAGGAUUUCUAGCUUUAUCUCCUCAAGUUGCGUAGAGCUUUGCUAUGGGAGUCUCCCCACAAAUGAGGUCAGGACUAAUCCAUUAUAAUUGUUCUAAGUGAAUUUCACAGAAGAAAUGGAGAAAAAUGUUCAUUUACAAGAUUACGUGGCUUUCUCUGCACCGGGGAACAUGGGAACUUCUCAGUAACGAGCACUUAUUAUUGCCAUGAUCAGCUGUACUAUUUGCAAAUAUGAUGAACAGAAAUGCUUUGUGCUUCACUUGGCUGCCUUCAGUGUUUCUGUGUUCUUCACUGCAUUUUUGUAAAAUAUUGGAGCGACUUUGGCAAAAUUGAUCAGAACUCACACUGAAAAUGAACAUCACCCUGCUAACUUCUGUUUCCAGAUGUUCCCUCUCAUUUGCCUUAUUAUCACCCAUUAAGAAGGUUGUUCUUCCACUGAAGUGAUUGCCUGCAGGUGCCAGCGCUGCGUGGAGAGCACAGUUCUCAUGGCUACAGCUGCUGCUGCUGUGGCAGGGCUGGGAAGCCCACCACCAGUUAUGAGCCCCAGCUCCAGCCAUGCUACCUAAACAGAGCCCUGACAUUUCUCUCUUGGAAACACCUCUGUAUCUUCAUGGGCUCUUUCCCAGCAUCCGUAGUGCCAACAACGGGUUUCAAGUUGAGCAGCGGCAGCAGUGCUACCAUUUAUACUGACCUGACCCGUACCUGCCAGGAGCUCUCAGAACCUGGAAGUGCCCUGGCUCUGCUUCCUCCUCCUCUUACUCAGCCCUGCCUGGGACUGGCAGUGCCACACUUGUUUCUGGGGUUUGGCUCAAGCACCUGUGAUGUUUGUGAAGGCGUUGUUACACUGUGGGCAGGAAAAUGCAUGGAAAAAUUCCUUUCCGUGGAGCAAAGCACUUCUGUGAGUUUUAGUAUUAUGGGAUGUUUUUUGUAACAGUAUCACGCAGCAGCUUGUUCCCAUGGAAACCAAGAAAGGCCUCACCACACACAGGAGAGGAGGUGGAUGGUGGGCUGCCUGGAGCAGCACAAGAUGUCCUUGUGGAUGGGCUAGCCCAGGGCACUGCCACUUUCAAAAGCCAGCUCCAAAACUGCUGGAUUGUGGCAGCUGAAAUCCAGUGAGUCAUCCUUUUACUGUCCCUGGUUGGUUUGUCAUGGCUACUUCAGCAUUUUUAGAGCAGACAACAAAAGCUACCCUGACCUACAGUGCAACCAAGUGAGACUUCUCAGAAGAGUGCAGAGAUGAGAGGCCCACCAAAGCCAUCUGGCAUCCUGCUUUUAAACCUCUUACUAUGUGUGGAAGCCAUAAUGCUGUUGAAGAGCAGAGCAGCUUAAAGAGAAGAACUGGAAGAAACACACACAUCUGCACACAGAAAUCAGUCUCCUCUUUUAUGAGUCGUCUUAUCUUACAAUGCCAUCCAGAACAGAGAAACCAAAAAUACAGUUGCUGGCACAGAAUUUUGUUAGACCAGUGUCUGGUUUGGUACUGGCAUAAAGCUAGAAGGACAAUGAAACAAGAUAAUAGAACAACUUUGCAGCCAUUACAAAUGGUAUGCACCAAUUUGCAUUUCAGGAACAGAUUUUGGCAGUGCUUUAUUGUUGAGUUGAAUUUUGCUAAGCACCAUAUGAACUUUCAUUUCCACUUACUACAAAGUCCUAAAUCAUACCUAUGUAACAGUAAGUGGGUGUAGGAGAAAUGCUCAGUCAUGGCCUGAAACAGUAAUUGAGCACCUGGUAGGAAGGCAGUGCCAAGCGAGGGGAGCUCAGGUGCAAGAAAUGCAUCUGAGUGACUGGAAGGGGUGGAGCCAGGAUCCGCCCCUUCCCAGACCUCAUUUAAGGGCUGGCAGUGGAGGCAAGGAUAUCUUGCUGGAGAUCCCUGUGUACCUGAGGAAUUCCAAAGGUAAGCAUGGUCUUUCCUUUAUUUAUGUGCCCAUGGCUCUUGCAUUUGAGCAGUCCUCACUGCAGCUUAGGACUUUGCUACUCUGCUAUCAUUGCUGCACUUUCCAUUGCAUGACAGUGAGUACCUGUUUCCUCCUGGUUCUCAUUCAUUGUCUCUACUGUGCUUUUUUUAUGUUUCUUCAACAUACAAAUAUCAGUUACUUUUACAUUUGAGCUGGCUACAUUGUCAUCAGCUCCUGCUAGCCCUUGCUACUCAAAUCAUACUGCUUAACGCGUGAAUUAAUUUGUUGGAAGCUAACACUUGACCACAUGUUGAGCUAGGGCUGGUAUAAGAAAUUUAAGCAAGCUCUUUUUGGGGGGAGAAAGAGAGGACUUUCAAGAGCAUUGGAAUUUUUUCACUUUCAGGAUGCUACUUUUACAGUAAUGAGUGAGUUGAAGUAUAGAAGAAGAAAAACAAACUCAACUGCAGCUAUUUAAACACUUAGCAGCUCCUUCCAGGCAAAGAACAACAAGCUAUUGUGUGCUUGUGCUCGUGAAGCUGGGAGGAGGCAACGUUUCCCACAGGCAAAUUAGGAAUGGGAAAAGCAGAACAAAACCCACAAGCUUCAGAAUCCCAGGCAGGAAAUGCAAGUCAUUUUCUGUUCAAGAUGAUUUGUGUUGUCAUUAGGUGGUUUUAAUUGGGCUUUAUUCUUACUCUGGGAGGAAAGCCUAGUUUUGCUUGAGCAAACACUAAGGACCAUUCAGAUCUGGGAAACAGGAGGGAAGCAGCGUUACCCGCAUUCACCAUGACACUGGAGCAAAGCACUUACUGGGAACAGUCUCCCCCUCCUGACCCUCCCCAGUGGGGGCUGACCAUGUUUAGCUGUAGCCUGAUAACGCCUUGCCCAUGCCCCAGCUCAGCAGGGAGGUACCCAACACACCAUUUACCCUAUAUUUACCUUUUGGGUAUGGAAUGCCUUUUUAAAGUGGGUAAGCAUUCUUGGCCGCAGGUGUGUUUUUCUGGAACAACAGCAUAAAACAGCUUCUCAUUCAUCUACGUGUUCAAAAUUUCUGCUUUUAAGAGAUGACAAAGAUGAAAUCUUGUAGAGUGGAAAAUCUACAGGCAAAACAUCUUUGUAUUUACAUUAUUAGUAAUAGUACCCUUCAGCAGCUUCUCCAGCAACUCCUCUACAGCAGCAUACAUGGAGAUGCCAGACCUAGCUCACAAAGCAUGGCUAAACACAGAGCCCAGGUUUCUUGCUGGCUGUCGGUGAUCUGUUGCUAGCAGGUGAGCCCUCUGGGGCAUUACCUAGUGCUUGUUUAGUCUGCUGCAAAGCCAAGACCUCACAUCUGGGCUUCAGAGCACAUCCACAUGGCAUGUAGUACCUGCAGCAUAACCCAAGUGUACUCCAAGUGGCUGCAUACCCACAGGUCUGUGGUUGGCAUGCAGAGUAUGAAAACUUUCAGAAAGUAGCCUAUUAAAAGCUAACAGCUUUUAAUUAUGCUUCAAACAAACCAAACAGCCCAAGUCAGAAUACAGCCUUAUACAGCUUAAGUAUCUAUAGCAAGACUACCCGCCUUUCAUGUAAGGCAUCAUUGGAAAGAAGAUAUAAUAUCUUAUUAUUUGAAAGAUAGAUAUAUAUAUAUAUAUAUAAAAGAAUAAGGAAAAUGCAGCCAACUGUCUUUUUUAUAAAAGUACUUUUAAUAAACAGAUGGAUUUAAGAUGCCAGACAACUUGUUGCCAUGUACAGGUAACAAAAGUCAAAAUUCUUUGAAUUUUAUACAAAUACUAUGUAGUACAGUAAACUUGAAUACAAGUUUACAAAACAAAAUGCAUCAGUGAUUUUAUUCAGCUUGUAACCAACUUCCAACAGUGAAAAUUACCAUGUAUCAAUAGUGAUCAGAAUUGCAUUGCAAAUUUUAGAAGUAAUGCAAGUAUAUUUUUACCAAGCCACUCUGAAGUUUCUGGUGCACACUGACAGUACAUUGGAUUUUUUUGGCUUGCUGAACAGAAAAUGGCAUUUAAAUAAAAUGACAGAGUUAAGGAAUACACGACAUAUCAAAAGGACUACCUUACAGAAAACUAAACAAGAAUGAGAAAGUAAACAGAGCAGAACCCUGAAGUAGCAAAUUAUUUUUCUACCCGUUUUGAUGGAAAAGAGUCCACAGGUGUCCAGCUUUCUCACAGCAUUUUGGAGUGUUCUAGUUCUAGCACAGUGUAGUCAGUAGUAGACUAAAAUAAUCCCUGCUUGGCAGUAAUGCUGGUGAAAGGUAACUUGCUCUAUUGCUAACAAAUUGGAGUAACCGCUGGCAGGGUGACUUCUUGCGGGCAUCCAGCGGAGGCCAAGUUCACAGCACACGAUUGAAGUUACAGUACCACUUGCUUUGAUGCAAUACCCAACAGCCUUCAGGGUUCAGGUGUCAGUUUCCUCACAGGACUUACAAAUGGAUGCACUUAAACAAAAAGUGGAGUGUAAGACAGUAUUUUCAUCUGUACAGCUACCGAUAAAAUGAACAAUUGUUACAAACUUUCCAGUCUGCUUUAUAAAAAAUAUUCUUAGUUUUACUUCUAAAUAAAAACUGUGCUGUGAUCUGUCACUUUCUUGCAUUGUACAUACUGUAGUUGCGUUAAUGAAGGUGUAGAGAUUUGUGACCUAGAGCUCUGGAUAUCUUAGAAGCCUAAAAAGCUGGUUUUGGUACAGAAGAGUUAGGUAGCAAUGAAAAUUUAUUCUAUUUAUUUUUCCUAAAACCUAGGAAGAGCUACAGUACAUUGCUAGAUCAGUGGCCUCAACCCUGAGCUGAAAUAAAGGACCUGCCUUGGCCAAGAGAGUCACAUUACUACUACAGCUGCACAGGAGAGACGAAACGACCCACCUACGGUCUGUCACCUUAGCUG